rnacentral:lncRNA from 13 species
UGGCGCAUGCCUGUAAUCCCAGCUACUCGGGGAGGCUGAGGCAGGAGAAUUGUCUGAACCCAGGAGGCGGAGGUUGCAGUGAGCCGAGAUGGCGCCAUUGCACUCCAGCCUGGGUAACAAGAGUGAAACUCUGUCUCAAAAAAAAAAAAAUAAUAAUAAAAUAAAUAAAUAAAUACCCUUUUGCUUGAAGUGCCAAAGAUUCUUCUAACUUUGACAUCAUGACAUGGAGAGAAAAUGGAAAUAAGCUGCAUUCAACAUGGUGGGUUAAACUGACCAAGCAGCGCAUGGCCAGCAGUGCUCAGCCCUGGGGCUGUCAGGCUGUUCAGGCCCCUGCCUGACCCGAGGGGGUCCACAUCUCACAGUCUCCAAGUGCACACAGGUGGUCCCGUUGAGAAGCCCUACUGUGACGCUGCUCUUUCAGGAUUGCCCCUCUGGAGACUGCUUCCGGCAUACCUCCUUCUCACAUUCCACUCUUACCAAACCAUCCUUAAAAGUAUAUGGCUGGGCACUGGACUUGAAGGGAUUUGAAAAGAGUAAAGUAUUUCACAAUGGCCAGGAUACUUCACGAAGAGGCAACAGAGUUUUAUCGUCGCUCGAGGUAAAGCGGGAAGGUGAGAUCAGGAUCCAGGAUAGGCUCUUGCGCCAUGACAACAGACAAAACACUUCACAGGGUGUGUCAGCCCAUGGAAAGGAAAAAAUGGGUCAGGAGAAGCAUCACUCUGGGACAGGUCCUGGCUGCAAGUUUCUCCAUAAGGGUUUCUCUGUGAUGUUCAAGGUCUGGUCAGCAGCAGCCCCCAGAGCUGUGGCAGCAGCCAGAGCCCCCAGAGUGUUCACAUUCACAGCAAUCAGAGCUCUGGUGCCGGCGCCGGUGGAAGAGAUGGGGCCUGUGGUGGCUCAGGCAGCAGCCACCAUCCCCAGAGCUGCAGCAGCCCCCAGAGCUGGAGCCACAGAAGCCCCCAGAGCUGGAGCCACAGCAGGAAGAGACUGGAGGUGGGCAUGGGGCUGGGCACUGGGGUGGGCACUUGGGUGGACACUUAGGUGGACAUUUUUGGGUGCACUUGGGAGGACACUUGGGAGGGGGCUGGCACUGCUGCUGGUUUUGCUGGCAAGACAUGCUGGCAGGAGUUACGUCAACCUAAAAAAUAACAAUGAAACUCUUUAAAUAUUUAAAGCUGGAGAUCAUAUUAUACCUCUUCUAAAAUCAAUGCACGUGUAGAAGAAUGAUAUUUAGAUCAUUCAGUCACAGGAGUAACCUGAAAAAAACAGCUUGAAUCUUUCCUCCAGCAAAGCACACUGCCAUGUGUGUUCCUACGCAACUGUCUUGCAUGCUCUGCUCAUGUACCCCAAAACCUAUAAUCCAAUAAAAAAUUAAAAAAAAAUACA